GAUGAACGCUGGCGGCGUGCCUAAUACAUGCAAGUCGAGCGAACAGAUGAGGAGCUUGCUCCUCUGACGUUAGCGGCGGACGGGUGAGUAACACGUGGAUAACCUACCUAUAAGACUGGGAUAACUUCGGGAAACCGGAGCUAAUACCGGAUAAUAUAUUGAACCGCAUGGUUCAAUAGUGAAAGACGGUUUUGCUGUCACUUAUAGAUGGAUCCGCGCCGCAUUAGCUAGUUGGUAAGGUAACGGCUUACCAAGGCAACGAUGCGUAGCCGACCUGAGAGGGCGAUCGGCCACACUGGAACUGAGACACGGUCCAGACUCCUACGGGAGGCAGCAGUAGGGAAUCUUCCGCAAUGGGCGAAAGCCUGACGGAGCAACGCCGCGUGAGUGAUGAAGGUCUUCGGAUCGUAAAACUCUGUUAUUAGGGAAGAACAAAUGUGUAAGUAACUAUGCACGUCUUGACGGUACCUAAUCAGAAAGCCGCGGCUAACUACGUG
rnacentral:rRNA from 1 species